rnacentral:rRNA from 1 species
UACGGAGGGUGCAAGCGUUAUCCGGAUUCACUGGGUCUAAAGGGCGCGUAGGCGGGCAGGUAAGUCCGUGGUGAAAUCUCUGAGCUUAACUCAGAAACUGCCAUGGAUACUAUUUGUCUUGAAUAUUGUGGAGGUAAGCGGAAUAUGUCAUGUAGCGGUGAAAUGCUUAGAUAUGACAUAGAACACCAAUUGCGAAGGCAGCUUACUACACAGUUAUUGACGCUGAGGCACGAAAGCGUGGGGAUCAAACAGG